rnacentral:lncRNA from 1 species
CCAUGAGAGCCUCUCCAACGCAGCUGCUGAAAGUGAAUUUUUCCUCUCAUAUUAGCAACUCCAACGCGAUUGCUAUAUCAACAGGUAGAAUAGCAUUUCUUCAAAUGCUAUGCUAUUUCUACACAUUCUAUCAAAAAGCUAAAAUGUUGUUGAAGGUACAUAUAACCGUUAGCCAACGGCUAUCUGCACUUGCCUCUUCCUCUUAAAAAAACUGAUGCAAGAAAAUAGAGCAACAUGAAAUCUCAAAGCACCUUACCUUGAAGAAGAAAAGCUGCCUUUGAUUGUCCCAGUCCUGCCCGGGUGAUUAAUUAGCUUCCCUUUUAGCUUCCAGUCGUGUGUGUGCUAAUCUCAAAGCACCUUGCUUCCAGUUGUGUAACCCUGCUGGGUUGAGACUGAAAUCGUGUGGGUUUAGUGGAGGAGGGAAAGUUUGUUGGCUGACAUGGGUGGUUUUGAGCUAAGCUGAAAAUCGUGUGGAGUACGCUGAAGGGAGAAGAUGAAGCAAAAGAAAAUUGUUGUUUUAUUUUAUUCAAAGUUUUUAUGGUCAAGGAUUGCCUCCUUUCCAUCCCCUGUUUUCAACAUUUAGCUCUUUCAUUUAGCAUUUCUCAUCGGAGAUUCUCUGUCGGCCAAGUUUGGGAAUUUGUAGACAUUUCUCAAAGACAUCGCUUCUUUUUACUGGACACAGCACUCCAACCUCUGUUAUCACAGCAAGCUGGACAACGAGAAACAUUCUCUUUCGUUGCUUUCACUUUGCAUUGAAGGGCUGCUGUGUGUAGCUGUUCUCUUAGAGCUGCCUCGUGCUACGCUGCAUCUUCCUCUCCGUUGGUCAUCAAAUAAUUAAAUGGAUGAAAUCAAUGAAUUUCAUUUUGUCAAAUAAUUAUCUAAAACUCUCAACUUAAAUCUAUGAAUUGAGAUUUUAAAAGAUCAUUUAUAAUAUAUUCUAAAAUUUAAAUAAAAAAAUUUAAAUUCAUAACUAUUUAAUUAUCAUGAUUUUAAUAUCAUAUUAAUGAAUUAUAUGAUAUAAUAGAUUAAAGUCUCAUAUAAGAUUUAUGUGAACAUGUUUUCUACUUUAACUUUUCAAGUAUACAUGAAGAUUUGUGUUAUUGUUUGAAGUUUAUUACCGACUAAAAAUAUAUAUAUUUUUUUUAUGAUAUUGUGUUUUUUAAUAAAGAAUUGUUAUUUUCCUUAGAUUUUUAAUUGUUAUACAAAUAAUAAUAAAAGUUAAACUUGAAAUUUCAAGCCCUCAACCUACUCAAAGUCUUUACAAAUCAUUGAAAAAAGAUUCAUCUUUUGAGCAAUAGCUUAAUUAGUUAGAUUUUUUAUUAUUAGUAAUGAAUGA